rnacentral:rRNA from 1 species
CGGACGGGUGAGUAAUGCUUAGGAAUCUGCCUAUUAGUGGGGGACAACAUUCCGAAAGGAAUGCUAAUACCGCAUACGCCCUACGGGGGAAAGCAGGGGAUCUUCGGACCUUGCGCUAAUAGAUGAGCCUAAGUCAGAUUAGCUAGUUGGUGGGGUAAAGGCCUACCAAGGCGACGAUCUGUAGCGGGUCUGAGAGGAUGAUCCGCCACACUGGGACUGAGACACGGCCCAGACUCCUACGGGAGGCAGCAGUGGGGAAUAUUGGACAAUGGGCGAAAGCCUGAUCCAGCCAUGCCGCGUGUGUGAAGAAGGUCUUCGGAUUGUAAAGCACUUUAAGUUGGGAGGAAGGGCAGUAAGCUAAUACCUUGCUGUUUUGACGUUACCGACAGAAUAAGCACCGGCUAACUUCGUGCCAGCAGCCGCGGUAAUACGAAGGGUGCAAGCGUUAAUCGGAAUUACUGGGCGUAAAGCGCGCGUAGGUGGUUCGUUAAGUUGGAUGUGAAAGCCCCGGGCUCAACCUGGGAACUGCAUCCAAAACUGGCGAGCUAGAGUACGGUAGAGGGUGGUGGAAUUUCCUGUGUAGCGGUGAAAUGCGUAGAUAUAGGAAGGAACACCAGUGGCGAAGGCGACCACCUGGACUGAUACUGACACUGAGGUGCGAAAGCGUGGGGAGCAAACAGGGAUUAGAUACCCUGGUAGUCCACGCCGUAAACGAUGUCGACUAGCCGUUGGGAUCCUUGAGAUCUUAGUGGCGCAGCUAACGCAUUAAGUCGACCGCCCUGGGGGAGUACCGGCCCGCAAGGUUAAAACUCAAAAGGGAAUUGACGG